rfam:Strongyloides venezuelensis genome assembly, scaffold: SVE_scaffold0000032
UCCCAUGUGGUCUAGUGGUCAGGAUUCGUGGUUUUCACCCACGCGGCCCGGGUCCGAUUCCCGGCAUGGGAA